CUCCAGCCCAGCUUGGCCAGCCUCCCCGCUCUGACAGCUCUUAAAGGGAAAGUCCCAGACUCCACAGGUGAUGUUAAGCUGAAGGGAGUCUGUGUCUUUCUGUGUCUCCGUUCUGUGUGAUGAGGAACAACUAUGCUGCUGCUGACUGCCAAGGCUGGGCAUGACCUCCUCACGGCAAGGCAGGCAUCAAUCUCCUCUGUCUCUCACAGAGGCAAAUACCAGAAAGGCACUAGGGUCUGGAUCUACAAGUGUGCUGGGGCUCCUGAGCUCUGGGCUCUGAAAUACUCACAGGAGGAAGCACUUGUGGCUCAGAGGUCCUGCAGACUUGCUGAAAGAGCUGGGCACAUGCCGCAUCUUGGCUUCUGGCUGCUUUGACUUGGCAGCAGCUAGCAGAUCUUCCCUCUGUGAGCGCCCUGGUCUCAAGAGGAACACAGGAGUCAGGUCCAGCCUCUCUGAUGCUAUCACUGAAACUACUUACUGAUACCGUUUUAUUGAAACCUAAGGGAACUGGGAAGCCAUCGGCUCUGCACCAUGCUGUGUGCUGGGUAAGACCCAUUGCCUGUUGCUUGUGGAUGUGGCACUUUGGUGACACCUGGAGUGCCUAGAAGGUGACCUAUGGAGAUCAGAGCAGCCAACAAUUCCCUCUGUCCUCCCUAAAACGCCCCCCUUCUCAAAUUCUCUCCAGCUGCCUGAGCAAUGGCUCAAAAUAAAUCUUGAAUGGUCUUUCUGAAAGCCCACAGGCACAUGUCCUCUGUUGACCCCUCUGCUCUCAUCCUCACUACACUCGGUGCUCCCCCCCACCAUGGUCCUGUCUUCUUGUGGGGUAGCCAUUUUCUUAACUUGAAACACUCCCUCCUACAGGAAGGAGCAGCAACUUAUGCAAUUGACUUAAAAAGCUCAGGAGACCCAGAAAGCCACAAGGCCCCUCCCCAGGGUUCUCUGAGCAAGGACAACUGCUGGGAGGGGAGUGUGUCAGUCCCCAGAGGCCACCUGCAAGCCAUGCUGGGGGUUCCAGGAAUGCAGCUUCCAUGAGUCAUCAUCAUCGAGUCAUCGUCAUCCAUGCCGGGGUGGGCUUUUUGGUGAUGCAGCUGUUUUUAAGUUCUGUAACUAACCACAAUAAACUCACUGGUUUACCAGGCUAGACUUGGGGAAGAAUUGCUUCUUUAGUCUUUUCAUGGACAUCCUGCCUCUCAGCCUGAAAAUGCAUCAGGAGUUUGUCUUCUAUAUUGGGUGCAUCAUGCACCCCCAAAACCUAUGCCUGGGAGCAUCUCAACUUGGAAAUCUGGAUUUUUAAUUGAUGUUAUUACUUUAGGAUUUUAAAAAUUAUCUUGGAUUGAAGUUGGGCCCUAAAUCCCACACUGCUCUCCUUAGAAGUUGGGACGAGGGCACAGAGUCACACAAAGAGGAAGUUCUGUGAAGAUGGAGAUACAAAUGAAAUGACACAGCUGUGAGCCCAGAGAUGUCAAAGGUGACAUCUACAGACGCCAGAGAAAGAAGCAGGCUUGUUCUCUCCCAUCAGAGACUGCUAAGGAGCCAGCCCUGACAGCAAGAACUGACCAAGCAAGCCUGGCUACUGUCUGAAGACAUGAAAACAGGCUGAGGUGCAGAGAGCCUGGGAGUGGUCAGACAUUGCAUCCCAAAUGGAGAAAAGCAUCUAUUCCCAAAGACUAGUGCCCAGUUACAGAUGUUGCCCUGACUAGUCUCCUUGACCUGUGACCUCUGCAGUUUUGUGCUGUGUUCUCCAUGUUGUCUAGAUGUGGACUCCAAAAAUUACCUAUCUCUCUAUGUCUUUGAUUCUGUCUCCUUCUAUGUACACACACACACACACACACACACACACACGCAUGCACACACGAGAGAGAGCGAGCUUGAUGCCACUAGAGCCAUCACUCUCCUCUCUAGUCUCUUAGCCCAUGUAUCAUCUUUGGAGCCUCUCUCUUACAGUUUCUCUACACAUCCACCAUGAGUCCAUCUUUGUUUCUCAUUGUUGCACAAGAUUAUAAUAUCACCCUCAAAUGAGAAGCAAAGCCACUUCCUAUACAGCUUUGUUAAGAUGGUAUCCAUGCAGAUGGACUUAGUCUGUGUGGCACCAGGAACAGCGGCCUCUCUCUCUACCUUUUUAUUCAAAUCCAUAAGCCUUACCUACAAUUGUACACACUUUAUGUAAUUACAAUUCUUGUUCUCCCUAUCUGAGUAUGCACUUCAAUAGGGAGGGGCUUCUCUGUUUCCAGUGUUAAGACUGUGCUGUCUCAGGGCAAAGCACAUUACAAGAACUCAGUGGAGAUCAGAUGCUAGAAUGAGUGAGUGAAUGAAUGAAUGAAUGAAUGGGUUGAUGGAUGUAUGUGUGGGUUGAUGGAUGGAUGGGUGGGUGAAUGAAUGGAUGAAUGAAUUCUGGUGCCAACUAGAUCUUUAACAAUUUCAUUGUACUACCCAGUAGAUGAUCAGGACCCCAACUAAUUAUAGAUUCAGUGCUUAUAUCUGGGUGAAAGACAUGUCAGAUUAGCAAGAUGGGUCCUGACUGAGGAACUUUGGUGUCUAUACACGGCCUUAUUCCUAUCUGGCAUCACUACACUAGCCUGCCCACUCUGCCUUUAACACUGGUGAAGGCCAUUACCCUCCUGUCCUGUUGAUGCCUUCUCCAGCCCACCCAGGGCCGUGGUUGAGCUCUGCCUAACCCUUCAGACCCCCUCUACCCAGGCCUUUCAUUCUCCUAUCAAGCCUGAGGCAGCCCUUGCCCAUGGCUCACAACGUGCAGAUCUUGUGUCCCUCCCAUGCCUUACCACUGUGAGUUCACUCACAAGUCAUGUGUAAUUUCAGAGAUAAUGGAAGAUUUAUUCCUGCCUGUGAGGAGAAACUCGUGGCUAGUUGGAGACUCCCUAAACCCACAGAGGGCCUCAGGCUUCCAUCCCUCUAGCCCUGUGUUUCUGGGAUCCCGGUGGUUUUACUUGCCUGCUGCAAGUGAUGAACAGACAUCUCAGGAAUGUGGUACAAACCAGUGUCAGCCUUGUUCAUACACAUGGCCCAGAGGUGGAACUCAGGCUCAGAUGCACUGCUUAGCACACUCAUUCAUCUCACAGAUACAAGCCUGAGCUCAAGGAAAGCUUGGGCCAAAUUAAUAAGGAGGUUAUACUCCAAGUUUACUUUCAUAGUCAAUUGGGAACUGAAGGCAAGAGGAUAAAGGAGGCCUGAGUGGCAUUAUUAAUGAGUAUCAGACAGACGUGGGAUCCUGUCCUACUCUGAACCAUCAGUUGUUUGUGACUUCCUGGGUGUUAGUCAACUGUUCUGAGAUGCAAUAUUCUUAUCUGCAGAGAGCACUCACAUCACAGAAGCUGCUGGAAAGCUUACAUGAGAAGAUCAACAGCGUUCAACACAGUUGGCCUUUCAAAUCCAAUGAUCUUUGAUACCCAAAGGGAAGGCUGUUGUUCUCAUUUUACUGAGAAAGGUUAAGUAGGCUGAUCAGAUCACAUAGCAAAUGUAUGGUAGAACUAGAAUCUGAAGUUCCAAUCUUAUUAACUUAUCAGCAUCACUGUAACUGUGAAUAUCCAUUCAAUAGAGAUUGGUUCCUUGAAUGCACCAAAUUCCU